UACGUAGGGUGCAAGCGUUAAUCGGAAUUACUGGGCGUAAAGCGUGCGCAGGCGGUUCUAUAAGACAGAUGUGAAAUCCCCGGGCUCAACCUGGGAACUGCAUUUGUGACUGUAGAGCUGGAGUGCGGCAGAGGGGGAUGGAAUUCCGCGUGUAGCAGUGAAAUGCGUAGAUAUCGGGAGGAACACCUGUGGCGAAGGCGGCUCUCUGGUCCCAUACUGACGCUGAGGCGCGAAAGCUAGGGUAGCAAACAGG
rnacentral:rRNA from 1 species